rnacentral:rRNA from 1 species
GGGGGGGGCGGGGGGCGGGGCGAGCAGGGGCGGGGCGCGCGGGGGGGGGGGGCGUGCGCCUGGGGUCAGCGGCGGACGGGUGAGUAAUGCCUAGGAAUCUGCCUGGUAGUGGGGGAUAACGUCCGGAAACGGGCGCUAAUACCGCAUACGUCCUGAGGGAGACAGUGGGGGACCGUCGGACCUCACGCUAUCAGAUGAGCCUAGGUCGGAUUAGCUAGUCGGGGGGGUAAAGGCCUACCAAGGCGACGAUCCGCAACUGGUCUGAGAGGAUGAUCAGUCACACUGGAACUGAGACACGGUCCAGACUCCUACGGGAGGCAGCAGUGGGGAAUAUUGGACAAUGGGCGAAAGCCUGAUCCAGCCAUGCCGCGUGUGUGAAGAAGGUCUUCGGAUUGUAAAGCACUUUAAGUUGGGAGGAAGGGCAGUAAGUUAAUACCUUGCUGUUUUGACGUUACCAACAGAAUAAGCACCGGCUAACUUCGUG